rnacentral:lncRNA from 1 species
CGCGGCUACCCUCUGCAGGCCCGGCCCGCACAACAGAGGCUGUAUGCGAGAGGAAUGGAAAUGAGCCUCAGGCCCUGCCGAAGGAGCCCCAUCCCCUUCCCCGCGCGGGGCUGAGGAAUGCUGGCCAGCCGGAAAGGAACCCUCGCUGGGAACGCCGCUCUCGCGCCUCUGAAACCCCAUUGAGAAGAACCCUUUGAUGCAAUUAAAGCGCAUUUCAUUGCAGGCCUGGGAGGAGGGAACGACCGGCAAGCUUUUUUCUGUCUCGGACGUGUGUAUGCAUCUUUGUGGGCCGGGUUACUUAGAGACCAGGCGGGAACUUGAGCUCCCUCCCUCGCAGACGUUCUGUAACAUCAGAAAAGCGUACCCAUAAACAGAUUGGUUUUCACCAGGGGUGGAACCCAGUUUGGACACGAUCCAGGCUGACCUGCAGGCCGGGGUUCCUACUUUGAAAGGCUCUUUGGUGCGCCUUACACCCACCUUCCCUGCUGUAAAGGUUUAGGCGGAAAAGAAAUUGCGUUUGCAGGAGGAAGUUGUUUCUGAGGUUACUGCUCAGCAUUUUCCAUUUUCUCAGUGGUGGGGUGGGCCGUGUCGCAUAUCCAGAAGUGAUGUCACAGCCAGACCUGCAAAAUGAUGUAACCUGCAAGUGUUGAAGGACGACGAUGGGACAGCUAUUUUGAUACUCGUAUUAUUUUAUAACAUUUCCCUGCUUUUUCCGUUGAGACAACUGUGUGACCUCAGAAAAUCCACAUAGCCUCUCUGAACUUAGUAUUUUUUUGUGUGUUAAAAUGAGUAUCACAAAGCCGGAGAACGAAUGUGAUGAAGUUCUGGGUGCUUGUGGAAUUCUUUCUAAGUUGGAGGUGGACACUUUAUCUACCUGCACAGGUGGAAGAUAUGUGGGUCUGGAACUCCGGUAAACAAAAAGAUCCUAUUGGGACCUCUA